UACGUAGGGGGCUAGCGUUGUCCGGAAUCAUUGGGCGUAAAGAGCGCGUAGGCGGCCCGGUAAGUCCGCUGUAAAAGUCCAGGGCUCAACCCUGGAAAGCCGGUGGAUACUGUCGGGCUCGAGUCCGGAAGAGGCGAGUGGAAUUCCUGGUGUAGCGGUGGAAUGCGCAGAUAUCAGGAGGAACACCAAUGGCGAAGGCAGCUCGCUGGGACGGUACUGACGCUGAGGAGCGAAAGCAUGGGUAGCAAACAGG
rnacentral:rRNA from 1 species